AACGAACGCUGGCGGCAUGCCUAACACAUGCCAGUCGAACGAGACCUUCGGGUCUAGUGGCGCACGGGUGCGUAACGCGUGGGAACCUGCCCUUAGGUUCGGAAUAACUCCCCGCAAGCGGUGCUAAUACCGGAUAUUGUCUUCGGACCAAAGAUUUAUCGCCCUUGGAUGGGCCCGCGUUGGAUUAGCUAGUUGGUAGGGUAAAAGCCUACCAAGGCGACGAUCCAUAGCUGGUCUGAGAGGAUGAUCAGCCACACUGGGACUGAGACACGGCCCAGACUCCUACGGGAGGCAGCAGUGGGGAAUAUUGGACAAUGGGCGAAAGCCUGAUCCAGCAAUGCCGCGUGAGUGAUGAAGGCCUUAGGGUUGUAAAGCUCUUUUACCCGGGAUGAUAAUGACAGUACCGGGAGAAUAAGCUCCGGCUAACUCCGUG
rnacentral:rRNA from 1 species